UAGGAAUUGAAUAACAUCUUCAACUAGUCCCCACGCAAAUAGUAUGCACACACAUUAAGAUGACAUCUAAGAGUGACGUUGACACCACUAACGUAAAAACCAUUUACGUUGAAAUUAAGAAUCACCACCGGCUGAUCUUCAAAUCCUACAACACUUAUGUUCUGGCAAACAAUGAAAUGACAACUUUCUCAUAGAAUUGAAUACAUCUUCGACUAAUCUGAAAACAAUAAAAUGGUCACAUAUUCAGAUGACAUCUACAUUAGACAACAUCAACUACAGACCAAUUCUGCAAAAUUGCAUAAACUCCAUAGAAAAUCAUCUCCCACACACCUUCAAAUCCCGAAACACUCAAUGUUAGGCUAAAAGUUCGUACACCUUAGUAGGAUUGUCUUUCACCAAUUGAUGUGAGCUUCUAAAUAUUGAAAUUUAUCUCCCGCCAAUCUCAAACAUAACAGCACCCACAAAUAUUGCGUCAAACCAAAGUGUUGAGUCAAAAAUCUUAGACAAAUAUAAGCAUCAUCUCUUACCAAAUAAGAUUGAAUUCUCUAAUGGGUAUGACCCCCCACAAUUCUUCAAACACAUUGGAACACUGAAAACAUAAAAGAUUAAUCCAUUUUCAAAACCUCCUUGAAGAUUGGGUACUGCAUGACAAAAUCGUCUCUUAUCAACAAUAUAUGCUUCUAAAAAAAGUUGAAGAUAGUCUCCUGAAUCUCCAAAUCUUAAGAGUACACAUACACGAUUUGAAAUCAAACCAAAGUGCAAGUCUUAAACAAUCACCGACAUCAUCCCUUUCCAACAUGAUUCACUCCUCAAUAUUACUGAAUAACAUCUUCCACCAGUUCUCAAACAAUAGAAUGCUCGUUAGAUUAGACGAGGUACAUGUAUAAACUCCAUAGAAACUUGAAAAUUAUCUCCCAUGGAUCUUCAAAUCCUACGCAUAGGAUUAGGCAAAAAGUUUAUGAUAUGAGUUUCCAAAAGAACUAUAAAAGAUUAUCUUCCGCUAAUCUUUAAACACUACAAUACUCAUAUUUUGAAUCAAAACAAAUCAUAAACAAAUUGAAACAUUAUCUUUUACCGUAUGAAAAUGAAUUUUAUAGUGGAUUUGAAUGUAACCUAACCACCCACGAGCCCACUAUACAUUAUUGGACCGUGGCCAGUCAAGGAAUUUGCAGUACAUGUUUGUAAUUCAAUUGCAAUGCCACUAGAGCCUUCCGUCUGUUGGUAAAACAAUCGAAUUUUUAGAUAUACAGUUAUUCAUUCAGCUUGGUUAUAUUCCAUCUACCCAGCACAACCGACCCAUUAAUCAAUUAUCUAAAUGUUGACCCCAACCCAUAGUAUACUGAGCCGACUAAAAAUUUCCUUUAUAUCCCUAAUUGAAGUGCUAAAUAAAUAGACUUUCAUCCAAUGAUGUAAACUAUCUCAUAGAAUUGACUAUUGAGUAUACCUUCUAUUAGUCCUCGACCAAUAAAACACACAUCAAAACGACAUCUAAGUGUAAACUCCAUAAAGAUUUGUCCUACCCAUCAUGAUUAGGCGAAAAGUUCCUGAAACCUUGUUGGUUCAUCUUUCAGCAAAUGAUAAGAGCUUCCUAUAGAAUCAUUCAAAACUAUUUCUUUUUCAACCAUUUUGAGGUCAUGCGAACAAACUAGGUACAAAGUCUUCCAAGAUAGAAUGAUUCCACUUGAAAUUCCAGAACUUAACAGAGAUCUGCAAAUCCAACAGCUCAGCAAUGGCGAAGAUCAAACCAGCUUUACAAUCCACGGCCCGGCCCAAAACAGGUUCUUCAUCCGCAUUUCUAUUUCUAUGUGUUUUACAAUGUAGUAAUGACAAAACGCAAACUACAAAUAUUCAAAGCUUAGUCUGACAGAUAACAACAACGUAUGCAAAACUUAACACAAAUCAACUUUCACAAACCCGACACACUCAUUCUGGGGAUAAAACGAACAAUAUUUACAUCACUUGAAUGAAAAAUCAGAAGAAGUUGGAUUACAGAGAAUUAAUAAUAUCCCGACUUUCUGUUCACGAGAAGAAUUUGAACGCAAUGAUCAACUACAGCUAUAAAGUACUCGUUUAGUAAGUUUUAAACCUAAGGGUUACUCGUUUAAUCAAUUUUACACCGAAGGGUUACUCGUUUAAUCAAUUUUACACCGAAGGGUUACUCGUUUAAUCAAUUUUAAACCGAACCUCCACAAAACCAGUAUCUGCCUCCCCCCUCAAUAACAAUUUGGUUUAUUCUGAUUAUUGAAAAUUAAAUUACUAAACACUAGUUUCUUUUAUUAGUUUAUUCUAGUUGAAAAUUAAGCUAUUAAGCUAUUAAGCACUAGUUUCACUUAUUGGUUUCUUUGUUUUCAUUAUUUUGUUGUCCAUAUGUUCAGAAUAAAAAUUAGCAUUUUUGUUUGAGGAAUUUAACUGAAAAUUAGCAUGACCGAAUAAGUGAGAGAAAAAUAUUACUUUGUUGUGAAAGGAUCCUAAAAGAUAUAGUUGCCAUAAACCUAAGCAUGACAAAUCUCAAUAAAAUAACCCUUAUAGCCAAAAAAUUAGAUAGAACUACACUAUGAAGGCGCAUGAAUACUAACGGGAGGAUGCUAAGUCACGAGCAAAGAUUAUAUACCGGCUAAAUUGUAGAAGAUUAGUCAGAGUUAAUAUAUUAUUCUACUUACCGACGUUGCCGUUUUAACCGUUUUUACCUUCGUGACAUGUUAAUACCUUUCAUUUGAGAUCACAGAAAUUGUUAAUACCUUUCGGAACCUUGAAACGAGCAUAGGUUGGGCAAGAACGAUCGAGCGAGAAAUCCCUCGAGAGAUUGUUUUCUCCUCGCUUUAUAUAGAAAUUCCCCAUCCGUCUUGUAUUAAGUAACCAUUCAGAGUUGUAAUACAGUCGCAGAACGCCUAGAUCAUCAGGUGAAAACCCUGAAUUUGGAUCUCGGCGGAAAAGAAGAACACCAGUAACCCGAAAAAACAAGUGAACAGCCACAGCCACCGGAGUUUCUCAUAGGCGUCCGAUAUUCCGCGACGAUAGAGCAAAAACCCUAAUCAAUCACAGCAAGAAGACCGAAGAUCAGAACCGAUGAGGGUAAGACGAGGGAAAAC
rnacentral:misc_RNA from 1 species